UACGUAGGGGGCUAGCGUUGUCCGGAUUUAUUGGGCGUAAAGAGCGUGUAGGCGGCCAGGUAGGUCUGCUGUGAAAACUCGAGGCUCAACCUCGAGACGUCGGCGGAAACCAUCUGGCUAGAGUCCGGAAGAGGAGAGUGGAAUUCCUGGUGUAGCGGUGAAAUGCGCAGAUAUCAGGAAGAACACCCGUGGCGAAGGCGGCUCUCUAGUACGUGACUGACGCUGAGACGCGAAGGCGUGGGGAGCGAACAGG
rnacentral:rRNA from 1 species